UACGGGGGGGAGCAAGCGUUGUUCGGAUUUACUGGGCGUAAAGCGCGUGUAGGCGGCUUGGCAAGUCCGCUGUGAAAACUCGAGGCUCAACCUCGAGAUGUCGGUGGAAACUGCCUGGCUAGAGUCCGGAAGAGGAGUGUGGAAUUCCUGGUGUAGCGGUGAAAUGCGCAGAUAUCAGGAGGAACACCAGUGGCGAAGGCGACUACCUGGCCUGUUUCUUGACGCUGAGGCGCGAAAGCUAGGGGAGCAAACGGG
rnacentral:rRNA from 1 species